rnacentral:rRNA from 1 species
UACGGAGGGUGCGAGCGUUGUUCGGAAUUAUUGGGCGUAAAGCGCGUGUAGGCGGUUUGUUAAGUCUGAUGUGAAAGCCCCGGGCUCAACCUGGGAAGUGCAUUGGAAACUGGCAGACUUGAAUACGGGAGAGGGUAGUGGAAUUCCUAGUGUAGGAGUGAAAUCCGUAGAUAUUAGGAGGAACACCGGUGGCGAAGGCGGCUGCCUGGACCGAUAUUGACGCUGAGACGCGAAAGCGUGGGGAGCAAAC